rnacentral:rRNA from 1 species
CAGUCGCCGCGGUAAUACAGAGGAUGCAAGCGUUAUCCGGAAUGAUUGGGCGUAAAGCGUCUGUAGGUGGCUUUUCAAGUCCGCCGUCAAAUCCCAGGGCUCAACCCUGGACAGGCGGUGGAAACUACCAAGCUGGAGUACGGUAGGGGCAGAGGGAAUUUCCAGUGGAGCGGUGAAAUGCGUUGAGAUCGAAAAGAACACCAACAGCGAAGGCACUCUGCUGGGACGACACUGACACUAAGAGACGAAAGCUAGGGGAGCAAAUGGGAUUAGAUACCCCCGUAGUCCCUGUCUCUUAUAC